rnacentral:rRNA from 1 species
UUGAACGCUGGCGGUAUGCUUAACACAUGCAAGUCGAACGGAAACGAUACUAGCUUGCUAGUAGGCGUCGAGUGGCGGACGGGUGAGUAACGCGUAGGAAUCUGCCUGAUAGUGGGGGAUAGCCCGAAGAAAUUCGGAUUAAUACCGCAUAAUCUAUUCGUAGUAAAGUGGGGGACUUUCGAGCCUCACGCUAUCAGAUGAGCCUGCGUAAGAUUAGCUAGUUGGUAGGGUAAAAGCCUACCAAGGCUACGAUCUUUAGCUGGUCUGAGAGGAUGAUCAGCCACAUCGGGACUGAGACACGGCCCGAACUCCUACGGGAGGCAGCAGUGGGGAAUAUUGGACAAUGGGGGCAACCCUGAUCCAGCAAUACCGCGUGUGUGAAGAAGGCCUGAGGGUUGUAAAGCACUUUCAAUUGUGAAGAAAAGUUAACGGUUAAUAACCGUUAGCCUUGACGUUAACUUUAGAAGAAGCACCGGCUAACUCCGUGCCAGCAGCCGCGGUAAUACGGAGGGUGCAAGCGUUAAUCGGAAUUACUGGGCGUAAAGCGUGCGUAGGCGGUUUAUUAAGUCAGAUGUGAAAGCCCCGGGCUUAACCUGGGAACUGCAUUUGAAACUGGUCAACUAGAGUAUGGUAGAGGAAAGUGGAAUUUCUGGUGUAGCGGUGAAAUGCGUAGAUAUCAGAAGGAACAUCAAUGGCGAAGGCAGCUUUCUGGACCAAUACUGACGCUGAGGUACGAAAGCGUGGGUAGCAAACAGGAUUAGAUACCCUGGUAGUCCACGCCGUAAACGAUGAUAACUAGCCGUUGGGGGGAUUUACCCUUUAGUGGCGAAGCUAACGCGUUAAGUUAUCCGCCUGGGGAGUACGGCCGCAAGGUUAAAACUCAAAGGAAUUGACGGGGACCCGCACAAGCGGUGGAGCAUGUGGUUUAAUUCGAUGCAACGCGAAGAACCUUACCUGGUCUUGACAUCCUGCGAACUUUCUAGAAAUAGAUUGGUGCCUUCGGGAACGCAGUGACAGGUGCUGCAUGGCUGUCGUCAGCUCGUGUCGUGAGAUGUUGGGUUAAGUCCCGUAACGAGCGCAACCCCUAUCCUUAUUUGCCAGCACAUAAUGGUGGGGACUCUAAGGAGACUGCCCGGGAUAACCGGGAGGAAGGUGGGGAUGAUGUCAAGUCAGUAUGUCCCUUAUGUCCAGGGCUACACACGUGUUACAAUGGCCGGUACAAUGGGCUGCAAACUCGCGAGAGUAAGCCAAUCCCAAAAAACCGGCCCCAGUUCAGAUUGGAGUCUGCAACUCGACUCCAUGAAGUAGGAAUCGCUAGUAAUCGCGGAUCAGCACGCCGCGGUGAAUACGUUCCCGGGUCUUGUACACACCGC